AACCCUCCCUCUCUUCCCCUUACCCACUCACUCUCUCUCUCUCCCUCUCUCUCUCAAAAAUAAAUAGACUUAAAAAAAAUAAAAGUUGGAAGUAAACUAUAAACUUAGAGAAAAAGUGUAAGAAUAGUAAAGGAAUACCCCAUACCCUUUACGUAAAUUCACUUAUUAACAUUUGCUCCAUUCACUUUAAUAUUUGUUCUUGUAUCUAUAUAAAUACAUAGGAUCUUUCAUAAGGCCUAUUUGACUUCUAUUUCUCUUUAAUGUUUUAUUUGUUUGAGAGAGAGCGUGAAUGGGGGAGGGGCAGAGACAGAGGAUCCAAAUUGGGCUCUGCACUGACAGGCUGACACCAGUGAGCCAAUGCAAGGCCUGAACUCACGAACUAGGCCCGAACUUACACCCAUGAGAUAAUGACCUGAGCUGAAGUCAGAGGCUCAACUGAAUGAGCCACCAAGGCGCCCCUUGACUUCUGUUUUUACCACCAGCCAGCUCAUAGAUGAUGAUAGCUCAUUUCAUUUUUUUCUGUGGGACAGGGGCUGGUGACAUUUCUCUUCCUGAAAAGUCUCCAAAUCAGAGGUGAUGGUAAUGUUUGAGUAAAUAUUUAUAUUUACUCAAAAGUAAAUAUACUCAAAUUUACUCAAAAGGAAAUACUGAAGUCCUUCCAGGGCAUUUUUCCUUCUGAUCCUUUUAUUAACUGUCCUUUGGUUUUAUAUGGAUCUAUUGUCAAUUUAAGAAGCUGCUUGUUUAUCUGAUUAGAGGUGGCAUUCAUACAUUGGUGUCAGCUUCUGACUGACUACAUUUUUAACAGAGCCAAUUAUAAUUAUUUCUUUGCACACUUGAACUCUUGCUUUGCUCUUUGGAAUCACCAACAGUUUUAUAGCUUUAGUACAAAUACAUUAAUUAAUGCCUUCAACAAAUAUUUAUUAAGCAUUUAUGUGUGCGAGGCACUGUUUUAGUCACUGACCAUGUACACUGGUGAACAAAACUGGCAAAAUCCCUGCUGUGCUACAGUUUAUAUUCUAGAGGGGUAUAUCAGUCAGCUAUCACUGCAACAAUGCUGCAUAAUAAAUACUCCCAAUGUUCUCAGUAGCUUACAAUAGCAGAUACUUAUUUUUCGCACUCACAGGUCUGCGUAUCAGAUAAAAUUUGGCUGAUCUUGACUGGGUUUGCCAAUGUUUGGCUGGACUUGGCUGAAUACCAGGUUUCAGGUCAAGUUCAGGUCUGCAUUACAGUCUUCAAACUGCUUACCUGAGGCACAUUAUUCCCAUGGUGGAUGACAGAAAUACAAGAAAGAGUCCCUCAAGGUCCUGCGUCACAUUUGCUCAGGGACAGGCCUGCUAACAUCCUUUUGUUCCAAAGCCCUUACGUGCCAUAACGCCACUUCUCUCAUCUCCUGGCUCAAGAUCUCUGCUCUCUGCAGAUUGGAUGUUGGUUGCAGGAAUAGCAAGGCAAACCUCCCAGUUUGCUAAAGGCAAUGAAGCUAAUGCCCUGGGAAGAGAGGGGAUGUCAUUCUCAAUUUGGAGAGGAAGAAGCCCACAUCACGCAAAAAGCUUGAUAAGAUCCUUGCUGGUGUUCUCAGGAUAAUCCCAGUCAGUGAUUCUGUACUUCAGAGCACCAUCAGCUGUUGACACUCUGGAAGGAAUCAAUGGGGAAGCCAAGAUGACGUGAGAAGAAAGAAGCAUAGGAGAGAAGCCAGCCAUAGGAAAAGCUAAGCACCUAGUACUCAGCUGUGCCAAAGAGAUUUGGGGGUGGGAUUCCUCUUACUGCACCCUAGGUCCUUCAGCAAAAAUCAAAGCCAGAAUAGGGAGACAGUGCUCCGAAAGGGCUAGCUCCUUUUAACUAUGAAGGAGCCAGACUGAGUGAGUGCAGGUGGGGUGUGGCUAUGGAUUUUGAGAAUGAAGAAGGUGCUGCUGAGGAGUCAGCCCACUUAUUUAGUCAGAUCUAAACCUCCAUGUUGUUGCCAUAAGGCCAAGACAAAAUUUUUAUUCCAGUCACAUAAGGCCAAGACAAAACUUCCCUAUCCUCAUGGAAAAGAAGGUGGUUUUGGAAUGGAAAAGAUGGAGACCUAGCACCUGGGAGAGGAGGCUGUGAAAUCAACUUAGGAUUUAGGUUCCUCACACAGCUUGGCCUUGUUUAUUGUGCAAUGGUUCUCAGGCCCUGGCUCCGGAGGGUCCACUGCUUUGACUAAAAGACCUAAUCUUCUUUCUCCACAGUCUUCCAGAUGGUCCAACCUACUCUCUAUGGCAAAACAUUCCUUUAUAUUAUGGUUUGAUCUCACCUAUGCUACAGGGAAGUUAACAGAAGGGUCUGUUCCACACUUGAGACCUAGAAUAAAAGUGAAGGAUGGUGUCCCCUACUCCCCACCCCUUCUCCAUUCUGUUAGCAACUGCUACAGCAGAGAGGCUAUCAAUCAUCUAGAACCAGGUGAAAUCAGAGGCAGAGGCACAAUGGCCUAAUGUAACUCCACGACAGAGAAACAUGAACACACACAUUCCUGAGCCCAUCUUAGAGAGUCCCCAUGAAACUCACAGAAAUGACAUUACUGCUUUCCAGUAGGGUAGUAUUCUUUCCAGUCUUGGUAGCUUUUAUAUCCUACCCGAUGGUGCUCUGAAGUCAAGAAUCAUUGACUGGGAUCAUCCUGAAAACACCUUUCCAUGGGAAAGGGGGCUAAAUUCUUGCAAUUAGUAGGUAAAAGUUUAAAGUUCUUGAAUUUGGACAAUAGUGUUUUGGGCAGUAAUAACAUAACAGAUUAGUGAGAGCUGAACACACUCAUGACAUUUGGGAUUCAUUAUGAGAACUGCAGACUACUUACUGAUCCUAGAAUUAGAACUUAGUUAACGUUGCAAACAGGAUAGAUACUUGACUUAAAAUUGUGUACUUAAAGGACUCAGUUGACCACCUCUAAAUCAUUAACAGUUGGCCUCAUAGGUAAUAUCCAGGUUCUGAGAAAUAAACUAUUUGCUACUGUAAGUGACAAAAUUCCAAGACUCUCAUUCAUUAACAUUUUAAUAAUCUUCAAGUCCUAAGUUUUAACCUGGGCAUGAUUACAUAAAUAUUGCAGUUUAAUUUUUAUGCCUGUAUCUUUUACUCCAUUUCUCUAGAAAUGGAAUUUGUGAGUGUACAUCUCUGGAUACACAUAAUCAUAUUGCUUUGGUUAUAGCCAUUUACAUGGUCCCCAGUGUAUAUGAGAGUGUCCAGCAUUGUGUAUCAUCAUUUAAAAAUCUCUGCUAAUGUCGCGUUUGAAAAAUCUUACCUUACUGUUCAUUUGAUUUGCCUUUCUUUAAUGAUUUAUUACGGUUAAAAUACUUUUACCUAUGUUUACUGAACAUUUUUAGGUUUUGUUCUGUGAAUUGUCUGGUUAUCAAGAAUUUAUUUGAGGGGCGCCUGGGUGGCUCAGUUGGUUGGGCAACCAACUUCAGCUCAGGUCAUGAACUCAUGGUUCAUAGGUUCGAGCCCCGCAUCGGGCUCUGUGCUGACAGC